AUUCAAUGGUCAAGUGUAUACUCAUUAGCCUGUAUAAACGUUACAUGAAUCCAAAAGGGAGUGCAAGGCUUGCAUUUUGAGUCGAAUAAAUCCAUAACCCAGCUUAUUGGAAUUUUGAGACCAAGUUUCCUAACUAUAGAUCAAAUGGGUAUCACAGGACAAGCACCACAUUUAGUCAUUCUACAAAUCAACUUGCAUGAAGAAAGCACCAUUCAUUAUCGUCACCACUAUCCAAUGGACAGAGCAAAUAAAUAAAUCCAUAGUAUUUAAAGGUAUAAAAUCCAAUGGACGGGGGACUGAAAACCUGACGGAUGCCAACCAACUGCUCCACAAACACUUUUAGACAGUAAGAGUACUUCAAAUGUAAGAAAGCAAUUUGAAGUAGAUCACAAUAUACAAGGAAAGGGAGAAGAGAGCAAAGACAUGCUGCCAGAAGAGAAGUGCAGAAGCCUCCUUCACUGCAUAACCCCUCAGGCUGGCAAUUGCUCCUAAUAAAAUGGCACUUGGCGUUGUGUAUUGUAACAAAAGCACGAAUCUGUACAUUGCAUCCCCUUUUACAAGAAAAUUCAGCUUAUCAGCCAAUGCUACAAUGCCAAUUCCCAGCAGAGGGAGCACCAAAAGCCUAGCUACAGAUAUACCAAUUGUGGUUGGAAGACCGAGUGUAGACUCAUUUGGCCCCUCAGCUAGCAUACCUCCAAGAAUAAGCAUCACAGAAGGCACCAUAGCACCAGCUAAAAUCUCUAAACUGUCUGUGAUAAAAGAUAAUGGAGCAUCAUAUCCAAAGACAAAAGCUUUUAGCUGAGGCACCAUCCCAAUAAUGAUAGCAAAUAAAGAAGCAAUUGUUGGAGGUUGAAGUAUGUGACGUAUUGGAGUUUGCUCCGCCACAAUUCGUAUUCUCCUCACAACUCUUGGCUCAGCCAAACACCUAAUGGACCUAGGACUGUUUGCUGUACUUUCUCCAGCGAGCUCAAUGUCAGGAAAAUUGAUCUGUGAAAGGCUUGAGAUGCUAUUAAAAAUCCUAGCAAUGAAAGGAGUCUUGGAAUGUUCAGUUUCUUUAUCCUCAAUGCCUGGCCAUUCAGCUUCUAUGAGGAGAGGUCUACUGACAUCAGGGGUUGGUCGUUGUUCCUCAAUCUCAAACUCUUCCUCAACAAUCUCAUAAUACUGUAAUGGUGGCUCCAUCAUAUGAUAAACAAGUGUGUAAACCAGAAUUACAGCAACCCAUUGGGCAAAAGAAACAUAAGCUACUCCACUUGAGUGGCAAUGAGCUCCAAAUGGGCUAUCUUUCGUAUGACACACGGAUCCAACAAUCGCUAGAGGAAGAUUUCCAGUGUUUCCAAAGGCAGUCAUGAUAAUGGUGAAUCUGUUAUACUGCGGCGGUGGGUGACAUAUUGCCACAACUAACAGCCCAAGAAAGAAACCAAUGAUUGUACUAACCAGUACAUUAACAGGAAUAAACCACCAACGAGCAAAGUUUUCAAGUGUAAUGCUUUCACCAAGCUCAGUAAAGAUUAGGCAGGGCAAGAACAGGGCAAAAACUAGCUUGCUUAGGAGCUUAAAUGUUGCUCUGGGGAUGAUUUGGGUUUUUGGGUGUGCAAGAAUCAAUCCUAUAAUUAUAAGGCAGAGAAGUUUCAUCAAAGGCACUAUAGCAGUAACCAAAUUUUCACCACUAGACCUCAUAUUGUUUUCAUAGAAAGCAGUUAUGUAACCAGACAUCUGCCCUUCAAAUAUUUGAAGAUCAAGAAAAAUAUUUCUUCAGAUCCGAGAAUCCAACUGAGAAGACUCAAGAAAGGGGGAGAGAGAUGAGGAGAAUUCAACAAAUUACGCAAAAGGUUUAAGUCUUACAGUAGUUGGCGAGAAAAGAUUCACGAGACCCUCAUUAACAACUUCUUCUACUCUGAAAGAAUAUGAUUAGAUUGGUUGUCUCUUUUGAUCCUAUCCAAAACUUCAAAUCCAAACAUAUUAUUUGAAAGAUAAAUUAGACGUUACUCCUUCAAAAUACAGCCGAGUGGGGCUCCCAGAACAGUGCCAAGACUGCUCAUUCAAAGUUUGGCACCAUCUCGCUUUUUUAUUUUAG
rnacentral:misc_RNA from 1 species